GUUAGUUAGCUGGGUAUAUUUAGCUGAUUGCAUUAUCGGAUCAGAUUUAACCUGCAGUCCAACAGUAUAGCACUAAGUACACGUAGUUUAUGCUGUUUCAGGUGAACAUUAGUUGCAGUGUAGGUAGUUAACUAGUUAACUUGACACCAACAGCAGCUUUGUUUUUUCAGUAGAUCCUGGAUUUUCUGUAAGGAACGAAAACAGACGAUUUCUGAAAUGUCUUCAGACGAAGACAGGGCCAAGGAAAUUUUGAAGGGCUUCAAACUAAACUGGAUGAAUCUUCGAGAUGCAGAAACAGGCAAGGUGCUAUGGCAGGGAACUGAGGACCUCUCUGUACCAGGAGUAGAACAUGAAGCUCGUGUACCGAAGAAGAUCCUUAAGUGUAAAGCAGUGUCCAGAGAACUGAACUUUUCCUCCUCAGAGAAGCUGGAGAAAUUCAGACUGGAGCAAAAAGUUUUCUUCAAAGGACAGUGUCUAGAAGAAUGGUUCUUUGAGUUUGGUUUUGUUAUUCCUAACUCUACCAACACAUGGCAGUCUCUGAUAGAAGCAGCUCCAGAAUCCCAGAUGAUGCCAGCCAAUGUUUUAACUGGUAAUGUGAUCAUAGAGACCAAGUUCUUUGAUGAUGACCUCCAUGUCAGCACCUCCAGGGUACGGCUUUUCUACGUCUGAUCUCCGACCCAUGACUCUACCUUCCAAAAUGCUGACGUCCUGCCAAGGUCUAUAAAUUACCAAGGAGCUGCGCAUCAAUCUCAAGGGAAGAUGCAGCUCAGGGUAUCUCCUGAGCUAUGCUAAAGAAGUCGUCAUCAUAAAGCAUGAGAUAACAUUUCCUUUAGCUGUGUCCCAUUCCAGAGGCUACUUCUUGUAACAUCUCCAUUUCCUGACAGAGUAUAUCACCGUAGCUUAAUCAGGCUGUCCCAUUCCAAAGGCCCAGUGAAAUGAGCCUCCUUCUGUAUACAUUUAUAGGACACAACAAGUAUAUUGUUUGUAGUUCUCAAUAUCUCAAGAUCCUUUGCACUGGUCAGUUUUUGUUUACUUGUCAAGUCAGAAACUUGUUCUGUCUUUUGUUGGAAAUAUAGAAGUUGCGUGAAUUUAUUUGAACAUAUUUUCUCAUUUCAACUCUGACAUCUGACUUUAGUGAGUUGAUGAGGACUGCCUGAAUGCACUGUUAAUGAUGGUCUCUGUGAGGCAAGUGUUGGAACUGCUGGUGUAGCUUUAGUCCUCCGUAGGGCACAGCUUUGCAGGCAGCCUCUGAAGUAGGACACAGUUUCAACCAAACAAAUCUUUCCUGUUUUCUGACUACACAAACUAGUGUAGAACAGUGGUUUUCAGUGUAGUGUGAGUGGAUUGCUUCUUGUCUGUAUUGUUUGAAAUGAAACCCUACACACUAUUAUCAUGAUGACAUAUGUUCGAAAGCACAGUGUCCGAGGGACAUCCUUCAACAAAUACAAGGAGGUUUAGUACAUACAUACAUUUAUGUGCUUGUGCUAUACUUUCUUAAAAUAUUCAACUUCCAACUAAAUCAUUAUCAGGUGUAGACCAAGACAUGCAUUGUUAAUUCUCAGUAGUUCACCUGUUUUUAAUUUUAGGGUGUUUAACAUAGCUGCUUCCUACAUCCUGGCCACAUUUUUAACUUUGACUUCCCGUCCAAUUCACUGCAUUUAUGUCAUUGUUUUUCCUUAGCUGCUAACUGAGCUUUGUAAAAUAGACUUGUUUUAAUAUGACAGGAGUAGUGGAUUAAAGUCAACCAAUGUUGUAAUAACAUAA